GAGGAGGCGGGCAGGCAAGAAACAGACGCACCAGGCGCAGUUGUGGGGGCGCCUGCUAUCGAGUGGCCACGGUGUGGCCAACACAUGCUUGAAGGCACCUCUGUAUUGUUUCCGAGCUGGGUGCUUCACACAACAGUAUUCGUCCUUGCACAACUCCUGAGGCCAGAAGCCCAAAAGCAAGAUGUCAGCUGGGCCACGCUCCUUCCAAAGACACUUCCUCGGCUCUUCCAGCCCCUGGUAGCUUCCAGAAUUCCUUGGCUUGUGGCAGCACGACUCCAACCUCCGCCUCCGUUGUCCCAUAGCCCUCUCCCUGUGGGUCUCAGUGCCCACAUUUCCCCAUAAAGACACCAGUCAGGGACCUGCCCUAAUCCAGUCUGACCCCAUCUUAACUGCUCACAUGUGCCAAGAUUUCAUUCCCUUCAUUCAUGUUCCCUUCUGGCUGAACAUGAAUUUUGGGGGUACACUAGUCAACCCAGUACAGUCCCUUCGCCAUCCUCUGUCAGAGUGUAUCUGGUGCUGUUUCCCUCAUUUUCCAGAUGGCACUGGAGGAGGGACCAGAGCCACCCUCAGGAGGAAGAAGGAAGCACAAUAGGACAUCCUUCUCUGGGCAGUGACGGGGCUGCUUAUCAGCUGGGGUCUGGACUUCAGCCUCCCAGCCUCUGCUCCUUUCUCCCGGCCCGCUCAGCCCCUCCCAGCAGCAGGCAGGAAGCAGCUUAGCCUCAUGCACUGCUGAGUCUGUUCUGUGCUGAGCUGGCGGGAAUAAUCCAGCAGCAGCAGCAGCAGCAGGAACUCGGGGGGAAAACCAGUGGCUGGAACAAGCUGGAAAGAAUUUUAUCUGGGGCCCACAGAGGUGAGGGCCGCAGAGGCCCACUUGCCUGGAAAGGGCCCUUAUCUCCUCUGAGAGGCGUGUGUGUGUGUGUGUGUGUGUGUGUGUGUGUGUGUGUGUGUGUGUGUGUGUGGUGUGGCGGCCAGAGGCUUGGCGGGGUGGGGCCUGGCCCUGUUGCCUGCCCUCAGGCCCUGCCCAAGCUUGGGAGUUGCUGAUUCAGAUCAUAGGACAGGCAGGGCCCUUAGGACAUCUCAGCCCAGGGGUAUCAAGUAAGUGUGGCUCUACCACCAGAUUCCCUUCCUCUGAAUUCUCCUUAACACAGUGCCCCACGCAGCUACCAUCAAUCAAUUGCAGCUGAGACACCAGUUAAACCAGUGAUGGCGAACCUUUUGAGCUCAGCAUGUCAGCAUUUUGAAAAACCCUAGCUUAACUCUGGUGCCGUGUCACAUAUAGAAAUUUUUUGAUCUUUGCAACCAUAGUAAAACAAAUAUGUAUAUUUUUGAUAUUUAUUUUAUAUAUUUAAAUGCCAUUUAACAAAGAAAAAUCAACCAAAAAAAUGAGUUCGUGUGUCACCUCUGACACGUGUGUCAUAAGUUCGCCAUCACUGUCCUAGGCACUUUUCCAUGACUCUCAAACUUUUCACACAGGGUGACAACCAAGCCUUCCUGACUCUCCACUCCCCGUGAGUCAUCCCUGGCUGCUGCCAAGAGGCAGGUUUCACAGCUGCUGCGCUUGCAGCCCCAGCUGGCAUCAGGAGACAGCUGCUGUGGCGGGACCCACCCUGCCCCCAGGCCAGCUGGUCCCUGUGCUGGGAAAGCUCAGAAUGGUUUUGAAGUACAGGGAUGGGAUGAGGUGAGCUCUGAGGGACCCUUCAGUCCUGGGAGUCAAGGGUCUGUGACAUCUUCCAGGAAGGCAAGGUGAUCUCAUGGCUUUGAGCACGGUUGUCAUUCAUUCACCAACGUGUCAGCCCCUGCAUGUCCUGGGCUCUGAUCCAGGUGCUGCCCAUGGAGCAGCAAACGAGACAGAUGCCAUCCCGGCUCGGUGAGGGAGGGGGAUGGGCGUGGAGUAAACGCCUCAUUAUAAACUGUGGGGGCUGCUAAGGAGAACACUCAUUACAAAGGAGCUAUCAGAGAGGGAAGAGAUGAGGGGUGAGGGAAGGGCUCUCCCAGGAGGUGACAUUUAAGCUGAGAUGUGGAGGAGGAAAUGGGUGUGUGCAUCGAGAAAGGGGCAGGGAAGAACAUUCCAGAGUGCAGGGUAGACAUGGGGUCUGGCGGGGAGACUUUACAAUUAGAGCCCUUGGGGCCUUAGAAAGGACCCCUAACCUCCCUAAGGCUCGUUGUCUUUAUUUGUGAAGUAGCAAUAACAUCUCACUGGGAAGAUACUCGUGAGGAUUUAAUGACAUUGCUCCCCCUGCUUAUUUGGGGUCUCACGGAGCAUCAGCGCCCAAGAAAUGGCAGCAAAGUACCUCAUGAUGCUCUGUGCAUAUAUGACGUGUUUCUGUUGGUCUCUUACAUUUUAUAAUCCA